AGUCUUCUGUAUCCGUGCUGAGAUUUCGUCACACACCAGAAAACAAGGGCUGAUCAGACUCACAAGAUAAAUGAAGCG
rfam:Schistosoma haematobium scaffold6273_1, whole genome shotgun sequence.